CUGCCUCUGAUCUGGAGGACUCAUUAAACAGAGAACAUCCCUGGUCAUCCCUACUGCCUCUGAUCUGGAGGACUCACUAAACAGAGAACAUCCCUGGUCAUGCCUACUGCCUCUGAUCUGGAGGACUCAUUAAACAGAGAAAAUCCCUGGUCAUCCCUACUGCCUCUGAUCUGAAGGACUCACUAAACAGAGAACAUCCCUGGUCAUCCCUACUGCCUCUGAUCUGGAGGACUCACUAAACAGAGAACAUCCCUGGUCAUCCCUACUGCCUCUGAUCUGGAGGACUCACUAAACAGAGAACAUCCCUGGUCAUCCCUACUGCCUCUGAUCUGGAGGACUCAUUAAACAGAGAACAUCCCUGGUCAUCCCUACUGCCUCUGAUCUGGAGGACUCAUUAAACAGAGAACAUCCCUGGUCAUCCCUACUGCCUCUGAUCGGUAGGACUCAUUAAACACAAAUGAUUUGUUUGUAAAUGAUGUCGGAGUGUUGGAGUGUCCCUGGAUUUCAGUAAAGUAAAAAAACAAGAAAAUGGUGCUGUCUGGUUUGCUUAAUAUAGGGAUUUUUUAAAUAUUAUUUAUACUUUUACUUUUGAUACUUAAGUAUAUUUUAAAACAAAUACUUUUAGACUUUUACUCAAGUAGAAUUAUACUGGGUGUCACGGUCUGACCAUCGUUCGUAUGUGUUUUCCUUGUUUUAGUGUUGGUCAGGACGUGAGCUGGGUGGGCAUUCUAUGGUGUGUGUCUGGUUUGUCUAUUUCUAUGUUUGGCCUGAUAUGGUUCUCAAUCAGAGGCAGGUGUUAGUCAUUGUCUCUGAUUGGGAACCAUAUUUAGGUAGCCUGUUUUGUGUUGGGUUUUGUGGGUGAUUGUUCCUGUCUCUGUGUUUGCACCAGAUAGGACGGUUUAGGUUUUCACUUUUCUUGUUUUGUUUAGUCUGUUCAUGUAGAGUCGUCUUUCUAAAUUAAACAUGAAUAACCACCACGCUGCAUUUUGGUCUGCCUCUCUUUCACCACAGGAAAACCCUUACACUGGGUGACUUUUACUUGAGUCAUUUUCUAUGAAGGUAUCUUUACUUUUACUACAGUAUGACAGUUGGGUACUUCUUCCACCACUGGUCCCGAGGUUGCGCCAGGUAUGGGCUGAACCAGGGGGAAGUGAUGCUCGCUAAGCAAGCAGCAUGACAUCAUUUAAACUAGCAUGCUACCAGAUACCAAUAGACUUCCAGUCCUCAUGAAAUUACCUCUAAAUUCCUUCAAACUGGACACAAAGACAAAUUCUAUCCACAAGUCCAUUUGAUUCUGGGGAAUUAGAUAAAGAGACUCAUUGCCAAAAUCCUGAAGUAUCCCUUUAAACACUGCAAAAUGUGUAAAACUGUGUAGAGAUUGGCAGCAGUCCAACAUCCCCUAGAACAUCAAGUUCUCUCGGAGAAGGGUUACGGUUAGGAAUGUGUCCUUGGUUCUGCUGACUCACCGGCUGUCUGUUUCAGGAGCAGCACUAGCUGUAGUAGCAGGCUGGAUCCCUUAGAGGGAACACUCACACACAUCCACACACAUACACCCACACAGACACAACGAAGUUGCAGCCAGAGGGGUUGAGUUGCAACACAACCAAAUUCAGGCUUUUUUACUGAAGAAUGUUUUCAUUUCAUAUGAUUGUGUUUUACUUUUCAUGUGUAAGUGAUGUAUAAUAGUAAUGCAUCUAAUGAAUGAAUUACCAGGGAGAUGCAGUCGCUCUGAAAGGUGCCAAGAGAAAUACAUUUAGCUGUAGGCCGUGUCUCAUUGAUCAUUGUUUUCCAAACUGGGAAUGUUUUGGCUUUAGGCUAUAUUUCACUAACCAGGAAAGAAUGGACAAUGGCCACUAAUGAUAAAAAUAAAACAGAGAGAGAGAGAGAGAGAGACAGAGAGGGAGACAGAGAGAGAGAGUAAGGGAGAGAGAGAGAGAGACAGAGUGAGACAGACAGAGAGAGAGUAAGAGAGAGAGAGAGACAGACAGAGUAAGAGAGAGAGUAAGGGAGAGAGAGAGUAAGGGAGAGAGAGAGAGUAAGGGAGAGAUUGAAAGAGAGAGAGAGAGAGAGAGUAAGGGGGAGAGAGAGAGUAAGGGAGAGAGAGAGAGAGAGAAAGAGAGAGAGAGAGACAGACAGAGUAAGAGAGAGAGAGAGAGUAAGGGAGAGAGAGAGUAAGGGAGAGACAGAGAGAGAGAGAGUAAGGGAGAGAGAGAGAGUAAGGGAGAGAGAGAGAGAGAGAGAGAGACAGUAAGGGAGAGAGAGAGAGAGUAAGGGAGAGAGAGAGAGAGUAAGGGAGAGAGAGAGACAGAGUGAGACAGACAGAGAGAGAGAGUAAGAGAGAGAGAGAGAGAGAGACAGAGUAAGAGAGAGAGAGAGUAAGGGAGAGAGAGAGUAAGGGAGAGAUGGAAAGAGAGAGAGAGAGAGAGAGUAAGGGAGAGAGAGAGAGUAAGGGAGAGAGAGAGAGAGACAGAGUGAGACAGACAGAGAGAGAGUAAGAGAGAGAGAGAGAGAGAAGUAGGGAGAGAGAGAGAGAGUAAGGGAGAGAGAGAGUAAGGGAGAGAGAGAUAGAGAGUAAGGGAGAGAGAGAGAGACAGUAAGGGAGAGACAGAGAGAGUAGGGGAGCAUAUGACUGCUCCUCAUGGCAGAGCAUCCACAGACAAUACGUCAUUCAUUCCCCACGCGCUGUCCUCCCUGUCUGUCCUGCAGAUGGAUCAUAUCCUUCUCUCUCUGUAGGCUAGAAUACAGACUGAUACGCUGCCUGCCGAGCAACUGAACAUCUGCUGUUACGGCUGUUAUGUCUAAUGUAAUGUUGUGUAUCAUCUAGCCCUUUGUUGGUGAAACAACACCCGGUUUUAUGAAACAACACCCGGUUUUAUGAAACAACACACGGUUUUAUGAAACACCCGGUUUUAUGAAACAACACACGGUUUUAUGAAACAACACACGGUUUUAUGAAAGUUAUGAUGGGUUAUAAGAACCGUGCAAGGACAAGUCACUUAGUUCCAUGGGAAAAUAUCCCAGGAUUGAGGAAGCAGGAAGGAACAAUUCUUUCUACUGGAUGGUACAACUGUGUCCACAACAUGUUAACACACACACGCCUCAUUUGUAAUAACCUAACCUUGAUAUGCUACACUGGUAAACUGUAAACUAAAAUACCAAAGUAAUAACGCGAUGUCCUGGACAGUGGACAAUAAGGUUCAUUUUGUGUAACUUCGGAUUUUCCUUAACAAUAUGUAUUCUUUAGCCUACAUUCGGGGUAAUGGAAGAUUGCGUGUCUAGUUUAGCCUACCUUUGAAAGCAAAUCGAGAGAAUGAAUGCUGGCAACUCAGAUUACACCUUCAAACAGAUACCCUAACCAAACGCAACAUUAGUGAGUUGGAUAGUUCCUUCAGUCAAUAGAAUAGAAUAAAUCAGUCACUUACUUUCUCU
ensembl:lncRNA